GGAUGUGAGGGCGAUCUGGCUGCGAUAUCUGUCACUCCAAUGAUCACCAGGGUUGAUUCAGCUGAUCUGGCUGGCUAGGAGGGUGUCCCCUUCCUCCCUCACUGCUACAUGUGCGUCCCUCCCAAAGCUCCCUACCGAGCGCGCUCAGUAGAAGAGGAUGGCCUUCCCUGAAUAUAGACAGACCUGGUCUUCUGUCAAGGGUAUAUGAGUAGCUGCGCUCCCCUGCUAGAACCUCCAAACAAGCUAUCAAGAAUAUUGCAGAUGAAGAUUUGGGAUCUCCAUUUUGGAAAAGGGUAGUAGGUAUAUUUUAAUUAUAUUCCAAGGGGCCCAUGACCUUACUAGUUUUUG
ensembl:misc_RNA 7SK 7SK RNA